AUGGCUCAGGACGAACGCUGGCGGCGUGCCUAAUACAUGCAAGUCGAGCGGACAGAUGGGAGCUUGCUCCCUGAUGUUAGCGGCGGACGGGUGAGUAACACGUGGGUAACCUGCCUGUAAGACUGGGAUAACUCCGGGAAACCGGGGCUAAUACCGGAUGGUUGUUUGAACCGCAUGGUUCAAACAUAAAAGGUGGCUUCGGCUACCACUUACAGAUGGACCCGCGGCGCAUUAGCUAGUUGGUGAGGUAACGGCUCACCAAGGCAACGAUGCGUAGCCGACCUGAGAGGGUGAUCGGCCACACUGGGACUGAGACACGGCCCAGACUCCUACGGGAGGCAGCAGUAGGGAAUCUUCCGCAAUGGACGAAAGUCUGACGGAGCAACGCCGCGUGAGUGAUGAAGGUUUUCGGAUCGUAAAGCUCUGUUGUUAGGGAAGAACAAGUACCGUUCGAAUAGGGCGGUACCUGACGUACCUA
rnacentral:rRNA from 2 species